rnacentral:rRNA from 1 species
GACGAACGCUGGCGGCGUGCCUAAUACAUGCAAGUCGAGCGAAUCAAUAGGAGCUUGCUCCUGUUGGUUAGCGGCGGACGGGUGAGUAACACGUGGGCAACCUGCCUGUAAGACUGGGAUAACAUCGGGAAACCGAUGCUAAUACCGGAUAAUUCAUUCCCUCUCAUGAGGGAAUGUUGAAAGUCGGUUUCGGCUGACACUUACAGAUGGGCCCGCGGCGCAUUAGCUAGUUGGUGAGGUAACGGCUCACCAAGGCGACGAUGCGUAGCCGACCUGAGAGGGUGAUCGGCCACACUGGGACUGAGACACGGCCCAGACUCCUACGGGAGGCAGCAGUAGGGAAUCUUCCACAAUGGACGAAAGUCUGAUGGAGCAACGCCGCGUGAGCGAUGAAGGCCUUCGGGUCGUAAAGCUCUGUUGUUAGGGAAGAACAUGUACCGGAGUAACUGCCGGUACCUUGACGGUGCCUAACCAGAAAGCCACGGCUAACUACGUGCCAGCCGCCGCAGUAA